GAUGAACGCUAGCUACAGGCUUAACACAUGCAAGUCGAGGGGUAACGAGAGGGAAGCUUGCUUUCCUUGUUGACGACCGGCGCACGGGUGAGUAACGCGUAUCCAACCUGCCCCCAACUAAGGAAUAACCUUGCGAAAGUAAGACUAAUACCUUAUAAUUUCCUCAGAUGACAUCUGACGAGGAAUAAAGAUUUAUCGGUUGUGGAUGGGGAUGCGUCUGAUUAGCUGGUUGGCGGGGUAACGGCCCACCAAGGCAACGAUCAGUAGGGGUUCUGAGAGGAAGGUCCCCCACAUUGGAACUGAGACACGGUCCAAACUCCUACGGGAGGCAGCAGUGAGGAAUAUUGGUCAAUGGGCGGAAGCCUGAACCAGCCAAGUAGCGUGCAGGAUGACGGCCCUAUGGGUUGUAAACUGCUUUUAUACAGGAAUAAAGUUAGCCACGUGUGGUUAUUUGUAGGUACUGUAUGAAUAAGGACCGGCUAAUUCCGUGCCAGCCGCCGCUGUAA
rnacentral:rRNA from 1 species